rnacentral:rRNA from 1 species
UACGUAGGGUGCAAGCGUUAAUCGGAAUUACUGGGCGUAAAGCGUGCGCAGGCGGUUUUGUAAGUCUGUCGUGAAAUCCCCGGGCUCAACCUGGGAAUUGCGAUGGAGACUGCAAGGCUAGAAUCUGGCAGAGGGGGGUAGAAUUCCACGUGUAGCAGUGAAAUGCGUAGAGAUGUGGAGGAACACCGAUGGCGAAGGCAGCCCCCUGGGUCAAGAUUGACGCUCAUGCACGAAAGGCGUGGGGAGCAAACGAGGAUUACGAAACCCCGG